ensembl:processed_transcript
AGUGGCAGCAGUCACAAGCUUGUCAUCAGACCCGACUCUCCUGACGAACCCGUGGAACACCUGUAACCUUCAAUAACCCGUUUUUCUCUCCAUUAUAAUGAGAAGGGGCCUAUUGAUUGAUUUCAAAGAUAAGGAAGGGAUUAAAGCGGUGAUGUCAUUCUCCUGGUCCGUUUCGGCUUUCACUGCACAGUGAAAAGUCCUGGUUUCCUUAGCUCUGCACAGAAGAGAACUGACCCAGAGGAAACAGUUCCAACUUUUUCAACAGCCCAGAGGAUGAAUGUAGAAGAAAUUGGUCUGGGAAUGAGUGAAGAACAACUGGAAGAAAAAGAAGAAAGGCUGAUCUGGCGCACGGAGAGAAAGGGUGAUGGCUUCGCAGUUCCCCGCUUUAAAAAGAAAGUCAGCUCCGUGAAGGCAGCCACUAAGCAGCCCCUUCAUUUCCUUAGCUCUCCAUGAGUACAGAUAACACAGCACAUUAAUCAGAAUCAGCAAACAUACUUUAAAGUAACCAAUUUUCUCUGAGAGCUGACCUAACAUAAACAUCUCAGCUAUCACCGAGAGGUUCCGGAGCUGUUAUCGCCAACAGCUAGUUUCAAUUUAACUAAAGUAUUGAGAUACAUUAUGCUUAUGCUGAUGUUCUCGGCUCUGCUGCAGAGGCUGAGGACAACCCUGUCCAAGCCUUCCCUUGAACUCUGUUAUCCUUAAACUGUCUGCCUCGGAGCUCCCCAACUCUCACAACCUCUCAUUCAGAGAGUGCAGUCAUCAAAGGACCACUCAUCCCUUGGUGGGGGGCAAUGGUGGAUAACUGUUCUAAUGUUUUGGGAGGAGAGCCCCUCCUGAGGAAAUCUUUACCAAUUUUCAAUUUUCAGCAAUUAAAGUGCAUUCCUCAAG